rnacentral:rRNA from 1 species
UACGAAGGGGGCUAGCGUUGCUCGGAAUCACUGGGCGUAAAGCGCACGUAGGCGGAUUGUUAAGUCAGGGGUGAAAUCCUGGAGCUCAACUCCAGAACUGCCUUUGAUACUGGCGAUCUUGAGUCCGGGAGAGGUGAGUGGAACUGCGAGUGUAGAGGUGAAAUUCGUAGAUAUUCGCAAGAACACCAGUGGCGAAGGCGGGUCUCUGGACAGUUCCUGACGCUGAGGCACGAAGGUCAGGGGAGCAAACGGG